UAGGGAAUCUUCGGCAAUGGACGAAAGUCUGACCGAGCAACGCCGCGUGAGUGAAGAAGGUUUUCGGAUCGUAAAACUCUGUUGUUAGAGAAGAACAAGGACGUUAGUAACUGAACGUCCCCUGACGGUAUCUAACCAGAAAGCCACGGCUAACUACGUGCCAGCAGCCGCGGUAAUACGUAGGUGGCAAGCGUUGUCCGGAUUUAUUGGGCGUAAAGCGAGCGCAGGCGGUUUCUUAAGUCUGAUGUGAAAGCCCCCGGCUCAACCGGAGAGGGUCAUUGGAAACUGGGAGACUUGAGUGCAGAAGAGGUGAGUGGAAUUCCAUGUGUAGCGGUGAAAUGCGUAGAUAUAUGGAGGAACACCAGUGGCGAAGGCGGCUCUCUGGUCUGUAACUGACGCUGAGGCUCGAAAGCGUGGGGAGCAAACAGG
rnacentral:rRNA from 1 species